UACGGAGGGGGCUAGCGUUGUUCGGAAUUACUGGGCGUAAAGCGCACGUAGGCGGCUUUGUAAGUUAGAGGUGAAAGCCCGGGGCUCAACCCCGGAAUAGCCUUUAAGACUGCAUCGCUUGAACGUCGGAGAGGUGAGUGGAAUUCCGAGUGUAGAGGUGAAAUUCGUAGAUACUCGGAAGAACACCAGUGGCGAAGGCGGCUCACCGGACGACUGUUGACGCUGAGGUGCGAAAGCGUGGGGAGCAAACAGG
rnacentral:rRNA from 1 species